rnacentral:lncRNA from 1 species
AUGUAUUGUUGUCUCUACCUUCUUGCCCUUUGUGCUGUUGUACCAUGUUUAGUGUUGCUACCAUGUUGUUGUCAUGUUGUGUUGCUACCAUGUUGUUGUCUUGUUGUGUUGCUACCAUGUUGCUGUCAUGUUGUGUUGCUACCAUGUUGUUGUUAUGUUGUGUUGUUACCAUGUUGUUGUCAUGUUGUGUUGCUACCAUGUUGUUGUCUUGUUGUGUUGCUACCAUGUUGUUGUCUUGUUGUGUUGCUACCAUGUUGUUGUCUUGUUGGGUUGCUACCAUGUUGUUGUUAUGUUGUGUUGUUACCAUGUUGUUGUCAUGUUGUGUUGCUACCAUGUUGUUGUCUUGUUGUGUUGCUACCAUGUUGUUGUCUUGUUGUGUUGCUACCAUGUUGUUGUCAUGUUGUGUUGCUACCAUGUUGUUGUCUUGUUGUGUUGCUACCAUGUUGUUGUCAUGUUGUGUUGCUACCAUGUUGUUGUUAUGUUGUGUUGUUACCAUGUUGUUGUCAUGUUGUGUUGCUACCAUGUUGUUGUCUUGUUGUGUUGCUACCAUGUUGUUGUCUUGUUGGGUUGCUACCAUGUUGUUGUCUUGUUGUGUUGCUACCAUGUUGUUGUCUUGUUGGGUUGCUACCAUGUUGUUGUUAUGUUGUGUUGUUACCAUGUUGUUGUCAUGUUGUGUUGCUACCAUGUUGUUGUCUUGUUGUGUUGCUACCAUGUUGUUGUCUUGUUGGGUUGCUACCAUGUUGUUGUUAUGUUGUGUUGUUACCAUGUUGUUGUCAUGUUGUGUUGCUACCAUGUUGUUGUCUUGUUGUGUUGCUACCAUGUUGUUGUCUUGUUGUGUUGCUACCAUGCUGUGUUGUCAUGUUGUGUUGCUACCAUGUUGUUGUUAUGUUGUGUUGUUACCAUGUUGUUGUCAUGUUGUGUUGCUACCAUGUUGUUGUUAUGUUGUGUUGUUACCAUGUUGUUGUCAUGUUGUGUUGCUACCAUGUUGUUGUCUUGUUGUGUUGCUACCAUGUUGUUGUCUUGUUGGGUUGCUACCAUGCUGUGUUGUCAUGUGUUGCUGCCAUGUUGUUGUCAUGUUGUGUUGCUACCAUGCUGUUGUCAUGUUGUGUUACUACCAUGCUGUUGUCAUGUUGUGUUGCUACCAUGUUGUUGUCUUGUUGUGUUGCUACCAUGCUGCAUUGUUGUCUUAGGUCUCUUUAUGUAGUGUUGUGUUGUCUCUCUUGUCGUGAUGUGUGUUUUGUCCCAUAUUUUUUAUUUUAUUUAGUAUUAAUCUUUAAUCCCAGCCUGUCCCCUGCAGGAGGCCUUCUGCCUUUUUCUAGACCGUCAUUUGUAAAGAAGAAUUUGUUCUUAACUGACUUGCCUCGUUAA